rnacentral:lncRNA from 1 species
UAGAGGAGUAACCAGAUGCUCCGCAGGGCGUAGCUUUAUACGACCGCAGAGGUUGAACCCUGAACGGUUGGGGCAAGUAUGGACACAACAUUCAAGCUGGAUUUCAAGCUCUAAAUUUGGAUUGUGAUUAAAUAGUUGACACAGCAUAGGUUUCUGACACAGAAUGAAUGUGUUCUAAUGAACUUAAAUUUUUUAUUUUCUCUUAGAGCAAUUCACUAUGCUGUUGAAUAUUAAUCCUCUCAAAAAAAUGUUUGAAGAAAU